GAUGAAGAACGCAGCGAAAUGCGAUACGUAAUGUGAAUUGCAGAAUUCAGUGAAUCAUCGAGUCUUUGAACGCACAUUGCGCCCCCUGGUAUUCCGGGGGGCAUGCCUGUCCGAGCGUCAUUGCUGCCCUCAAGCACGGCUUGUGUGUUGGGCCUCCGUCCUCCUCCCGGGGGACGGGCCCGAAAGGCAGCGGCGGCACCGCGUCCGGUCCUCGAGCGUAUGGGGCUUCGUCACCCGCUCUUGUAGGCCCGGCCGGCGCUUGCCGACACAUCAAUCUUUUUUACAGGUUGACCUCGGAUCAGGUAGGGAUACCCGCUGAACUUAAGCAUAUCAAUAAGCGGAGGA
rnacentral:misc_RNA from 1 species